AGGUUAACCGAAUAGGGGAGCCGGAGGGAAACCGAGUCUUAACCGGGCGUUAAGUUGCAGGGUAUAGACCCGAAACCCGGUGAUCUAGCCAUGGGCAGGUUGAAGGUUGGGUAACACUAACUGGAGGACCGAACCGACUAAUGUUGAAAAAUUAGCGGAUGACCUGUGGCUGGGGGUGAAAGGCCAAUCAAACCGGGAGAUAGCUGGUUCUCCCCGAAAGCUAUUUAGGUAGCGCCUCGUGAAUUCAUCUCCGGGGGUAGAGCACUGUUUCGGCUAGGGGGCCAUCCCGGCUUACCAACCCGAUGCAAACUGCGAAUACCGGAGAAUGUUAUCACGGGAGACACACGGCGGGUGCUAACGUCCGUCGUGAAGAGGGAAACAACCCAGACCGCCAGCUAAGGUCCCAAAGUCAUGGUUAAGUGGGAAACGAUGUGGGAAGGCCCAGACAGCCAGGAUGUUGGCUUAGAAGCAGCCAUCAUUUAAAGAAAGCGUAAUAGCUCACUGGUCGAGUCGGCCUGCGCGGAAGAUGUAACGGGGCUAAACCAUGCACCGAAGCUGCGGCAGCGACACUGUGUGUUGUUGGGUAGGGGAGCGUUCUGUAAGCCUGUGAAGGUGUGUCGUGAGGCAUGCUGGAGGUAUCAGAAGUGCGAAUGCUGACAUAAGUAACGAUAAAGCGGGUGAAAAGCCCGCUCGCCGGAAGACCAAGGGUUCCUGUCCAACGUUAAUCGGGGCAGGGUGAGUCGACCCCUAAGGCGAGGCCGAAAGGCGUAGUCGAUGGGAAACGGGUUAAUAUUCCCGUACUUGGUGUUACUGCGAAGGGGGGACGGAGAAGGCUAUGUUGGCCGGG
rnacentral:rRNA from 2 species